rnacentral:SRP_RNA from 1 species
UCUUAUAAUCAUAUAUGAAAAAUGCUUUCUUAUAAAUCGGUAAACCCAUUGACUAAAGAGGCAAAAAUCAAUAUAAUAAAUUAGUGAGUUGCCUUUUGUCAGCUCCGUGCGCUCGCUGGCGUGUCGCGCAAUGAGACUCCGUGAACCUUGUCAGGUCCGGAAGGAAGCAGCAAUAAGCGGUUAAGUACUCAUGUGCGCACAUGGCACGCCAGCGAACGCACGGGGCUGACAAAGGGCAGCUUUUUUAUAGGG